rnacentral:rRNA from 1 species
UACGGGGGGAGCAAGCGUUGUUCGGAUUUACUGGGCGUAAAGGGCGGGUAGGCGGCCACCGCAAGUCAGUUGUGAAAUCUCCGGGCUUAACCCGGAAAGGUCAACUGAUACUGCGGGGCUAGAGUGCAGAAGGGGCAACUGGAAUUCCUGGUGUAGCGGUGAAAUGCGCAGAUAUCAGGAGGAACACCGGUGGCGAAGGCGGGUCUCUGGGCCGAUACUGACGCUGAGGAGCGAAAGCGUGGGGAGCGAACAGG